rnacentral:lncRNA from 1 species
UCCCAUGCCGCUUUGCUCGAAGUUGUUUCAAUAAUUUUCUCGAAUGUUGACUCCUCUACUGCUUGAUAAAGAUAAAAGAGGGCCUUUUUGUUCUUCUUUCUUGCAUCCUUCAACUUGUUUCAUCAAUUUGCAGUCAAUGUGACUUUUUCUUGCUUUGUAUACUCUUGAUACCUAUUGUUAACUAAUUUCCAAAGAUCUUGAGAACCA